rnacentral:rRNA from 1 species
UACGGGGGGGGGCAAGCGUUGUUCGGAAUUACUGGGCGUAAAGGGCUCGUAGGUGGCCAACUAAGUCAGACGUGAAAUCCCUCGGCUUAACCGGGGAACUGCGUCUGAUACUGGAUGGCUUGAGUUCGGGAGAGGGAUGCGGAAUUCCAGGUGUAGCGGUGAAAUGCGUAGAUAUCUGGAGGAACACCGGUGGCGAAGGCGGCAUCCUGGACCGACAUUGACGCUGAGGCGCGAAAGCCAGGGGAGCAAACGGG